rnacentral:rRNA from 1 species
GACGAACGCUGGCGGCGUGCCUAACACAUGCAAGUCGAGCGGAGAUCAUGGAGAGCUUGCUCAAAAUGAUUUUAGCGGCGGACGGGUGAGUAACGCGUGAGCAAUCUGUCCUACACAGGGGGAUAACAGCUGGAAACAGCUGCUAAUACCGCAUAAGACCACAGUACCGCAUGGCACAAGGGUCAAAGAUUUAUCGGUGUAGGGUGAGCUCGCGUCCCAUUAGAUAGUUGGCGGGUAACGGCCCACCAAGUCGACGAUCAGUAGCCGAGCUGAGAGGCUCAACGGCCACAUUGGGACUGAGAUACGGCCCAGACUCCUACGGGAGCAGCAGUCGGGAAUAUUGCGCAAUGGAGGAAACUCUGACGCAGUGACGCCGCGUAUAGGAAGAAGGUUUUCGGAUUGUAAACUAUUGUCAUUAGGGAAGAACAAAGACAGUACCUAAGGAGGAAGCCCCGGCUAACUAUGUGCCAGCAGCC